rnacentral:rRNA from 1 species
GUUAGUCGGCCCCUAAGGCGAGGCUGAAAAGCGUAGUCGAUGGGAAACGGGUUAUUAUUCCCGUACCACCUUAUAGGAGUGAUGGAGGAACGCAGCAGGUUAACUCAGCCGCCGAUUGGAAAUGGCGGUCUAAGAGUGUAGGUGAUUCCAUAGGAAAAUCCGUGGAUGUUAGCUGAGACUCGAUGGGACAGGAAUACUUCGGUUGAACUGGAUUGGGUGAUACUGUACUGCCAAGAAAAGCUUCUAAACGUUGAAUAUAAGGUGACCGUACCAAAACCGACACAGGUAGGAGGGUAGAGUAUACCAAGGCGCGCGAGAGAAAGGUUGUUAAGGAACUCGGCAAAUUAACCCCGUAUCUUCGGAAGAAGGGGUCCUGUUGGAGGCUAAGGACUUGCUCCUGAUGUUUCUAACAGGCGCAGUGAAGAGGCGAAGGCGACUGUUUAUCAAAAACAUAGCACUAUGCGAACUCGCAAGAGGAAGUAUAUGGUGUGACACGUGACCAAUGCCAAAAGGUUAAGGCAAGGGGUUAGCAUUAGCGAAGCUCUAAACCGAAGCCCUGGUGAAUGUCGGCCGUAACUAUAACGGUCCUAAGGUAGCGAAAUUCCUUGUCGGGUAAGUUCCGACCUGCACGAAUCGUGUAACGAUCUUCGCACUGUCUCAACAACCAUCUCGGUGAAGUUGUAGUUCCGGUGAAAAUGCCGGAUAACCGCGGCAGGACGGAAAGACCCCGUGAACCUUUACUGUGACCUGACAUUGGAUUUUAAUAUUUCAUAUGUAGGAUAGCUGGGAGGCUUUGAAGCAUCUUCGUUAGGAGGUGUGGAGCCAAUGGUGAAAUACCAGUUUUGGCCUAUUGAAAUUCUAACUACGAUCCCCUGAAUCGGGGCGUAGAACAGUGUCUGGGAGUCAGUUUGACUGGGGCGGUUUCCUCCUAAAGAGUAACGGAGGAGCACAAAGGUACCCUCAGCACGGUCAGCAAUCGUGCGAAGAGCGUAUAGGUAUAAGGGUGCUUAACUGCGAGACCUACAAGUCGAGCAGGUGCGAAAGCAGGUCUAAGUGAUCCGGUGGUUGCUAGUGGUAGCGCCAUCGCUUAACGGAUAAAAGGUACUCCGGGGAUAACAGGCUGAUGAUUGCCAAGAGUCCACAUCGACGCAAUCGUUUGGCACCUCGAUGUCGGCUCAUCGCAUCCUGGGGCUGGAGAAGGUCCCAAGGGUU